UACAGGGGGUGCUAGCGUUGUUCGGAUUUACUGGGCGUAAAGGGCGCGCAAGCGGGACCGCAAGCCAGGAGUGAAAUCCCGGGGCUUAACUCCGGAAUUGCUUUUGGAACUGCGGACCUAGAGUGCAAUAGAGGCAAGUGGAAUUCCUAGUGUAGAGGUGAAAUUCGUAGAUAUUAGGAGGAACACCGGUGGCGAAAGCGACUUGCUGGGUUGUAACUGACGCUGAGGCGCGAAAGCGUGGGUAGCAAACAGG
rnacentral:rRNA from 1 species